CAGUAGCCGCGGUAAUACGUAGGUGGCAAGCGUUGUCCGGAAUUAUUGGGCGUAAAGGGCUCGCAGGCGGUUUCUUAAGUCUGAUGUGAAAGCCCCCGGCUCAACCGGGGAGGGUCAUUGGAAACUGGGAAACUUGAGUGCGGAAGAGGAGAGUGGAAUUCCACGUGUAGCGGUGAAAUGCGUAGAGAUGCGGAGGAACACCAGUGGCGAAGGCGACUCUCUGGUCUGUAACUGACGCUGAGGAGCGAAAGCGUGGGGAGCGAACAGGAUUAGAGACCCCUGUAGUCCCUGUCUCUUAUAC
rnacentral:rRNA from 1 species